AUUGAACGCUGGCGGCAGGCCUAACACAUGCAAGUCGAGCGGAUGAAGGGAGCUUGCUCCUGGAUUCAGCGGCGGACGGGUGAGUAAUGCCUAGGAAUCUGCCUGGUAGUGGGGGAUAACGUCCGGAAACGGGCGCUAAUACCGCAUACGUCCUGAGGGAGAAAGUGGGGGAUCUUCGGACCGCACGCUAUCAGAUGAGCCUAGGUCGGGUUAGCUAGUUGGUGGGGUAAAGGCCUACCAAGGCGACGAUCCGUAACUGGUCUGAGAGGAUGAUCAGUCACGCUGGGACUGAGACACGGGCCAGACUCCUACGGGGGGCAGCAGUGGAGAAUAUUGGACGAUGGGCGAAAGCCUGAUCCAGCCAUGCCGCGUGUGAAGAAGGUCUUCGGAUUGUAAAGCACUUUAAGUUGGGAGGAAGGGCAGUAAGUUAAUACCUUGCUGUUUUGACGUUACCGACAGAAUAAGCACCGGCUAACUUCGUG
rnacentral:rRNA from 1 species